CCUACGGGGGGCAGCAGUGGGGAAUAUUGCACAAUGGGGGAAACCCUGAUGCAGCGACGCCGCGUGAGUGAAGAAGUAUUUCGGUAUGUAAAGCUCUAUCAGCAGGGAAGAAAAUGACGGUACCUGUUUAAGAAGCCCCGGCUAACUACGUGCCAGCAGCCGCGGUAAUACGUAGGGGGCAAGCGUUAUCCGGAUUUACUGGGUGUAAAGGGAGCGUAGACGGCAGCACAAGUCUGGAGUGAAAUGCCGGGGCUUAACCCCGGAACUGCUUUGGAAACUGUGCAGCUAGAGUGCAGGAGAGGUAGGUGGAAUUCCUAGUGUAGCGGUGAAAUGCGUAGAUAUUAGGAAGAACACCAGUGGCGAAGGCAGCUUACUGGACUGUAACUGACGUUGAGGCUCGAAAGCGUGGGGAGCAAACAGGAUUAGAUACCCGAGUAGUC
rnacentral:rRNA from 1 species